GGAAGGAUCAUUAACAAAUGUAAUCCAAUUACCAACCACACUGUGCACUGUUAUCGUAUGCUUUGGUAGGGAGUGAAAUGGCGGGAGCCUCCGGGCGCCAGUCUUUCGAUCUGCCAGAGUUUUUUACAUACUAAACAAACAAACGUCUUAUUAUCUGACUGAACUUCAUUUAAACAAAUGAAAAUACAACUUUUAACAAUGGAUCUCUUGGCUCUUGCAUCGAUGAAGAACGCAGCGAAUUGCGAAAAGUAAUGUGAAUUGCAGAAUUCCGUGAAUCAUCGAAUCUUUGAACGCACAUUGCGCUCUCUGGUAUUCCGGAGAGCAUGCCUGUUUGAGUAUCAGUUAACCAUUCUCAAGCUACACUAUUCUUAGGAGUUGUGUGGCGUGGAACUGAGUGUUCCCGGUAAGAGUGCCUCGCGGCGCUGUAACUGGGAGACUUGAAACUGAUCUCGCGGGAGCAGUGGUCAUUAAGGAUCAGCUCGUUGCAGGUGUACUAGUUGGAGGCGUCGCAAGACGUUUUCAUUCUUAGCACCAAUACGUAACGUUCAGAUCUGACAACUGUCACCGACGAACGCAGGAACUUGGAGGAAGGCGCAAGCCCGACUCUUAAUUCUUGAUCUCAAAUCAGGUAGGAUUACCCGCUGAACUUAAGCAUAUCAAUAAGCGGAGGAAAAGAAACUAACAAGGAUUCCCCUAGUAACGGCGAGUGAAGCGGGAAGAGCUCAAAUUUAAAAUCUGUAAGGUUCAACCUUGCCGAGUUGUAGUUUGAAGAAGUGUUUUCCGCGGCGGCUGCAGUACAAAUCCUUUGGAACAGGGUAUCAGAGAGGGUGAGAAUCCCGUCUUUGACUGCAGACUAGUUGCACUGUGAUACACUUUCUAAGAGUCGAGUUGUUUGGGAAUGCAGCUCAAAAUGGGUGGUAAAUUUCAUCUAAAGCUAAAUAUUGGCAAGAGACCGAUAGCGAACAAGUACCGUGAGGGAAAGAUGAAAAGAACUUUGAAAAGAGAGUUAAAUAGUACGUGAAAUUGUUAAAAGGGAAACGCUUGAAGUCAGUGUUGCCGGCGGAAAAUCAGCUUCAGACUGGCGACUUGCGCAGGUGGAGGGAGUGUUAAAACCCCUUGCUUGCGUACAGGAGUCUGGAUGGAGUGCACUUUUCAGUCGGCAGGUCAACAUCAAUUUCAGCCGGUGGAAAAAAGCUAGCGGAACGUAGGUUGGAGCAAUUCAACUGUUAUAGCCGCCAGCGGAUACACUGGGUGGGAUUGAGGACAGCAGUGCAGGCCAUUAUGGCGGAAGCUCUGCGUCUUUCUCCGGGGGGCAUGUCAAGACAGCUUGCUGACUUGGUGUGUACACUCUUGGGAACGGCGUGGAUGUACUUCUCCUGCACUAAGGAUGUUGACGAAAUGGCUUUAAACGACCCGUCUUGAAACACGGACCAAGGAGUCUAACAAAUAUGCGAGUAUUUGGGUGGCAAACCCAUAUGCGCAAUGAAAGUGAAUGUAGGUGGGAUCUCACGCUUCGGCGAGGGUGCACCAUCGACCGAUCUGGAUUAUUUUAUGAUAGAUUUGAGUAAGAGCAUAUCUGUUGGGACCCGAAAGAUGGUGAACUAUGCCUGAAUAGGGUGAAGCCAGAGGAAACUCUGGUGGAGGCUCGUAGCGAUUCUGACGUGCAAAUCGAUCGUCAAAUUUGGGUAUAGGGGCGAAAGACUAAUCGAACCAUCUAGUAGCUGGUUCCUGC
rnacentral:misc_RNA from 1 species